GUCCACGGCCUUGCUACCCUUAAUAAGCCCGAUCCCGUCUGAUCUCAGAAGCUAAACGGGGUCGGGGCCUGGUUAGUACUUGGAUGGGAGACCACCUAGGAAGAUCAGGUGCUGUAGGCU
rnacentral:rRNA from 1 species